GGCGUACGGGUGAGUAACACGUAGGUAACCUACCCUCGAGUGGUGGAUAACCCUCCGAAAGGAGAGCUAAUACAGCAUGAGACCACGGCAUCACGGUGCUGUGGCCAAAGUGGGCCUCUCUAUAGAAGCUCGCGCUUGAGGACGGGCCUGCGGCCCAUCAGCUUGUUGGUGAGGUAACGGCUUACCAAGGCAAAGACGGGUAGCUGGUCUGAGAGGAUGAACAGCCACACUGGAACUGAGACGCGGUCCAGACUCCUACGGGAGGCAGCAGUGGGGAAUCUUGCGCAAUGGGGGAAACCCUGACGCAGCGACGCCGCGUGAGCGAUGAAGGCCCUCGGGUUGUAAAGCUCUGUGGGGAGGGAAGAAUAAGCCUGGGUUAAUACCUCCAGGUGAUGACGGUACCUCCUUAGCAAGCACCGGCUAACUCUGUGCCAGCAGCCGCGGUAAGACAGAGGGUGCAAACGUUGUUCGGAAUUACUGGGCGUAAAGCGCAUGUAGGCGGCUAUGCAAGUCGGGCGUGAAAGCCCACGGCUCAACCGUGGAAGUGCACUCGAAACUGCGUAGCUAGAGU
rnacentral:rRNA from 1 species